rnacentral:rRNA from 1 species
UACGUAGGGGACAAGCGUUGUCCGGAUUUAUUGGGCGUAAAGAGCGUGUAGGCGGUCCGGUAAGUCGGCUGUGAAAGUCCAGGGCUCAACCCUGGGAUGCCGGUCGAUACUGCCGGACUAGAGUUCGGAAGAGGCGAGUGGAAUUCCCGGUGUAGCGGUGAAAUGCGCAGAUAUCGGGAGGAACACCUAUGGCGAAGGCAGCUCGCUGGGACGUUACUGACGCUGAGAAGCGAAAGCGUGGGGAGCGAACAGG